UGUUGUGCUGCUGUCUUGGCCAUGACUCCCUUGUAAAAGAGAUUCUGAAUCUCAAUGGGAUUAUUCCUGGUAAAAUAAAGGAAAAUAAAAAAAUAUGAAU